rnacentral:rRNA from 1 species
GGGUUGUGAGGUUAAGCGACUAAGCGUACACGGUGGAUGCCCUGGCAGUCAGAGGCGAUGAAGGACGUGCUAAUCUGCGAUAAGCGUCGGUAAGGUGAUAUGAACCGUUAUAACCGGCGAUUUCCGAAUGGGGAAACCCAGUGUGAUUCGUCACACUAUCAUUAACUGAAUCCAUAGGUUAAUGAGGCGAACCGGGGGAACUGAAACAUCUAAGUACCCCGAGGAAAAGAAAUCAACCGAGAUUCCCCCAGUAGCGGCGAGCGAACGGGGAGGAGCCCAGAGCCUGAAUCAGUGUGUGUGUUAGUGGAAGCGUCUGGAAAGGCGCGCGAUACAGGGUGACAGCCCCGUACACAAAAAUGCACAUGCUGUGAGCUCGAUGAGUAGGGCGGGACACGUGGUAUCCUGUCUGAAUAUGGGGGGACCAUCCUCCAAGGCUAAAUACUCCUGACUGACCGAUAGUGAACCAGUACCGUGAGGGAAAGGCGAAAAGAACCCCGGCGAGGGGAGUGAAAAAGAACCUGAAACCGUGUACGUACAAGCAGUGGGAGCACGCUUAGGCGUGUGACUGCGUACCUUUUGUAUAAUGGGUCAGCGACUUAUAUUCUGUAGCAAGGUUAACCGAAUAGGGGAGCCGAAGGGAAACCGAGUCUUAACUGGGCGUUAAGUUGCAGGGUAUAGACCCGAAACCCGGUGAUCUAGCCAUGGGCAGGUUGAAGGUUGGGUAACACUAACUGGAGGACCGAACCGACUAAUGUUGAAAAAUUAGCGGAUGACUUGUGGCUGGGGGUGAAAGGCCAAUCAAACCGGGAGAUAGCUGGUUCUCCCCGAAAGCUAUUUAGGUAGCGCCUCGUGAAUUCAUCUCCGGGGGUAGAGCACUGUUUCGGCAAGGGGGUCAUCCCGACUUACCAACCCGAUGCAAACUGCGAAUACCGGAGAAUGUUAUCACGGGAGACACACGGCGGGUGCUAACGUCCGUCGUGAAGAGGGAAACAACCCAGACCGCCAGCUAAGGUCCCAAAGUCAUGGUUAAGUGGGAAACGAUGUGGGAAGGCCCAGACAGCCAGGAUGUUGGCUUAGAAGCAGCCAUCAUUUAAAGAAAGCGUAAUAGCUCACUGGUCGAGUCGGCCUGCGCGGAAGAUGUAACGGGGCUAAACCAUGCACCGAAGCUGCGGCAGCGACGCUUAUGCGUUGUUGGGUAGGGGAGCGUUCUGUAAGCCUGUGAAGGUGUACUGUGAGGUAUGCUGGAGGUAUCAGAAGUGCGAAUGCUGACAUAAGUAACGAUAAAGCGGGUGAAAAGCCCGCUCGCCGGAAGACCAAGGGUUCCUGUCCAACGUUAAUCGGGGCAGGGUGAGUCGACCCCUAAGGCGAGGCCGAAAGGCGUAGUCGAUGGGAAACAGGUUAAUAUUCCUGUACUUGGUGUUACUGCGAAGGGGGGACGGAGAAGGCUAUGUUGGCCGGGCGACGGUUGUCCCGGUUUAAGCGUGUAGGCUGGUUUUCCAGGCAAAUCCGGAAAAUCAAGGCUGAGGCGUGAUGACGAGGCACUACGGUGCUGAAGCAACAAAUGCCCUGCUUCCAGGAAAAGCCUCUAAGCAUCAGGUAACAUCAAAUCGUACCCCAAACCGACACAGGUGGUCAGGUAGAGAAUACCAAGGCGCUUGAGAGAACUCGGGUGAAGGAACUAGGCAAAAUGGUGCCGUAACUUCGGGAGAAGGCACGCUGAUAUGUAGGUGAAGCGACUUGCUCGUGGAGCUGAAAUCAGUCGAAGAUACCAGCUGGCUGCAACUGUUUAUUAAAAACACAGCACUGUGCAAACACGAAAGUGGACGUAUACGGUGUGACGCCUGCCCGGUGCCGGAAGGUUAAUUGAUGGGGUCAGCGCAAGCGAAGCUCUUGAUCGAAGCCCCGGUAAACGGCGGCCGUAACUAUAACGGUCCUAAGGUAGCGAAAUUCCUUGUCGGGUAAGUUCCGACCUGCACGAAUGGCGUAAUGAUGGCCAGGCUGUCUCCACCCGAGACUCAGUGAAAUUGAACUCGCUGUGAAGAUGCAGUGUACCCGCGGCAAGACGGAAAGACCCCGUGAACCUUUACUAUAGCUUGACACUGAACAUUGAGCCUUGAUGUGUAGGAUAGGUGGGAGGCUUUGAAGUGUGGACGCCAGUCUGCAUGGAGCCGACCUUGAAAUACCACCCUUUAAUGUUUGAUGUUCUAACGUUGACCCGUAAUCCGGGUUGCGGACAGUGUCUGGUGGGUAGUUUGACUGGGGCGGUCUCCUCCUAAAGAGUAACGGAGGAGCACGAAGGUUGGCUAAUCCUGGUCGGACAUCAGGAGGUUAGUGCAAUGGCAUAAGCCAGCUUGACUGCGAGCGUGACGGCGCGAGCAGGUGCGAAAGCAGGUCAUAGUGAUCCGGUGGUUCUGAAUGGAAGGGCCAUCGCUCAACGGAUAAAAGGUACUCCGGGGAUAACAGGCUGAUACCGCCCAAGAGUUCAUAUCGACGGCGGUGUUUGGCACCUCGAUGUCGGCUCAUCACAUCCUGGGGCUGAAGUAGGUCCCAAGGGUAUGGCUGUUCGCCAUUUAAAGUGGUACGCGAGCUGGGUUUAGAACGUCGUGAGACAGUUCGGUCCCUAUCUGCCGUGGGCGCUGGAGAACUGAGGGGGGCUGCUCCUAGUACGAGAGGACCGGAGUGGACGCAUCACUGGUGUUCGGGUUGUCAUGCCAAUGGCACUGCCCGGUAGCUAAAUGCGGAAGAGAUAAGUGCUGAAAGCAUCUAAGCACGAAACUUGCCCCGAGAUGAGUUCUCCCUGACUCCUUGAGAGUCCUGAAGGAACGUUGAAGACGACGACGUUGAUAGGCCGGGUGUGUAAGCGCAGCGAUGCGUUGAGCUAACCGGUACUAAUGAACCGUGAGGCUUAACCUUACAACGCCGAAGCUGUU